GGGACAUGGAUUUGGGGCUCUGCAAAGAGGGGAGCCGAAUGUGAGACUGUUGAAUAAAGUGAGGUCUCUCAAAGGGAACAGAAGCAGAAAGGUCUCCCACUAGCACAGAACUCAGCCAGAAAAGCUCCUAUGAAACCCAAGAGAGCUCCUACACAGAGAAGGAGAAGCAAGCACUUAAGGUAGGCUGAAGCCAGCAGUUAAUGCCUGCAAGUUGGUCACCAUGGAAACAACACCACAAGAAAAUCUCCCUCCACUACCUCAUUCUUUAAUAUCUGAAAUUUUAAAUUUACAAAAUUAAGAUACAAAGAAUCAAUCAUGAAGCUG
rnacentral:lncRNA from 1 species